UCUCUCUCUCUCCUCCCCAAGCAGGGACGCCUCUUUGGUGCCACGGCACGAUUUGGAUUCCCGCACGACACCCUCGAGUGAGGUUUUUGUGGAGUAUCCAAGUAACAGCGAAGGAGCGGUGCAGUUAGCAAGGCAUCUUCCCUGGUCCCUGCCUAUGAGCGCUAACUCUACAGAGUCAGGCGGAGCGGCGAUGCUGUCUUAAGGGACAGGGUGAGGCCGUUCCACAGAUGGGCCAAGAAUCGGGGCCGUGGCCCGUUGUGGCGGGCGGGUGGCAGAACGGAUGUGCGUUUGGGCAGGGAAUCAGAGUAGCUAUCCAGGUGACUGCAAGCUGCAUGUGUUUGGCCGGGGGUUUGAAUCGGAGGAUCCAGAUUCCAUUGUAGUAGAAAGCUCUGGAAUGAGAAAAAUGUUAAGCGAAGCAGGAGAGAUUGACUGUCAAUGUGCCUGAGCUAAUAAGUGUCAUUGCUCUGAGUCCUUGCUGUGGUGAUAGUGCAUCACUGGAAACCUAUGUAUUAAUGCCUAAUGUUGU